CCCUCUAUUCCUGUCUUCCUCCCUUCAUCUCCCGCUUCUUCAUCCCCCUUCCCCAUUUUAGGCCUUUGUUUUGCAACAAACCCAUACCUUUUUCGAUUCAGUGAGAGGAGAGAAAGAGGAGGGCAUCGUCGUCCCGCCCCACCGACGCCGACGCCCUACCCCGCCGUCCCCGACAAAAAGGUUCGAAAUACAUGAGGUAAAUCUAGAUUCAGUUUAUUAGAUUUCUAGAUUCAGUUUAUUAGAUUUCUUAGACAUGGAUUUCUUAUGCUACUACUAUUAUCAGAUUCAAUCUACUACUAUUAUCUUUUAAUUACUAUUAUCUUGAUUAGGAAUCUAAUAAAUCAGAUUGGAUUUCUUAUGAUACUACGCUAGAUUGGAUUUCUUGGAUUCACGGUUCAGUAAUUAAAAGAUUUCUUAGAUUCCUAACCUGAUUUAUUAGAUUCACAACUCCAAGACAUGGAUUUCUUAUGCUACUACUAUUAUCGCUUAAUUUAUAGAUUCUGUAUAGUUCAUUCCGCAGUUUACUUCCCAUACCUGGGAAGUGGGUUCAAUCUGUGACUACUAUUAUUAUGGCUUAUCAUGAUAGUAGCAUAAUAAGUUGUGGAAUGAUAGUGGGUUCAAUCUGUGGAAUGAUAAUAGUGGGUUCAAUCUGUGACUACUAUAAUAGUAGUAGCUAAAACAGAGCAUAAUAAUAGUAGCAUCAAAGAAGAUAGAGAGCAUAAAAAAUGGCUUAUCAAAGAUUCAUGACUACAACCAAUUUGAAUCAGAAUAAUAAAAUUUAUAAAUUCUUCAUUGAUCAAUUAAGGCCGAAAUACAAUUGAUGUGUAUAGUUCAUUCCACAGUUUACUUCCCUUGCCUGCAGUUCUAGAGGCUAGAGAGCAUCAGCUUGAUUAUCACUUUUGAAAGUGCUUUAUGUUAGAGCCCUGUUUUGACCUCUAUUAUACAUUAACUCAAGUAUCACUUAGAUUGUUCUGAUUGCCAAAUUUUUUAUUGUGCUUUAUGACAAUUUUUUUCUUCUGAUUUUAGUUUAAAACAGUUUGUCCUAAUUUCUGUACUGACUUUUUUUUUUUUUUUUUUGCUAAGUAAAUCCAGCAAGCACAUUUUUAUUGGUUUUGUUUGUGUUUGAGGUAUCUGCUAUCCGUUCAUUUGAUGAAAAAUAUAUGAAAAUUUUGAUGCCAUGAUGUUCAAAAGCAAUGUUUACAUGCUUAACGGUAUGGUAAUAGCUAUCGAAUGAUUCUUUGAUUGGCAAAUGUGCAUAUUUCUUAACUUCGACUUCUACUUAAACUCUUCGCAUCCAAAUAUAUGUAUAUGAUUUCCUUAAGAGUACUAUUUUUUGUAAGUGGCAUCUGUCUUACUUAGAAUUGACAUGAAACACGCAGCUUAUAGUUUUUCACUGGUUGAUAUUGAUAUAAAACUUGCCCUAUCUUAAGCUCUUAGGGACUACUUGAUGGAUGUUAUGAAGAUCCAAGCUUAUGAUACUGGAAGUUUAUAAAAUGAACUUAAUCCAUUCGGCUUUUUUAUAAAUUUUCCUCUUCUUUGGCACUAGAUAGAUACUAGUAAUUACUUUUGUUUUGAUUGGAGUACAAACUUCUUUUAUGAAGGUAUGUGAUGAAUAGAACUAUUGACUUCGAGACUACUAGGGAAAUCAAAGAGAAACUUUGCUAUAUAAGGUUACCAAAUAACAUCAUAAUUUGGCUUGCUUUUAUGGAAUUUGUUCGACCGGAAAGGGGUUUUGUUCGGGAGCCCCGUUCUAUCCAAAAACUACCCAACUUGCAUAUGACAAGUUAUAUGAAUACAACCGUGCCUCAAUUAUUUCAGUAGACCCGCUCACAAGUCCUGUUUCACUAAUCUAUUCUAACUAGGGCCCUAUAUUUGGUUGAACCAAAUGGUACCAUACCUUUCCUCAUGACAUGAACUGGAAUCACCGAAGUCUCUCUCAAGCGAAUUUAGUGGAUUGCUUACACAUUGUGAAACCAUCUUAACCUUACUUCAAUUUAUGCAAUUUAAUAAGAUUAUGAUUAUCUCAUAACAUGAUUCUUAUGUCUUGAUUAGUUAUGGAGUGCAAAAAUAACGGUAAAAAUUAUAAUUUUUUAAAUAGGUUAUAGUUGGUCAUGCAAGAAAGUCCAUGAGGUCAGUUAAUUAUCUAAAAUUUCCGUAAUUUUUUCUUUUAACAUUUUUUAGAUGCAUAUUAUGACAAUAAUGAAUUUGGGACUGUUGUUGAAGCUAUAAGCGACGAAAGAUUGCAACUAAUGGCUUACAUAGUCCUGUCCAAGUUAAGACACCUACAAUGAUUCGAGCAGAGGAGGUCCAGUUCACUGCAAUGGCUGAUGCUGCACGCCCUGCAUAUAUUUUAGAGACAAGGAAAACAGCUCCAGGCUUACGUCUAGUGGACUAAGUGGGAUGUACUAAUAGGUGGAGGGUGGAAUCACAGAAUGCAUUUAUUUGAUAUGGUGAUGAUAAAAGAUAAUCAUAUAUCAGUAGCUGGAGGUGUCAAAGAUGCUCUCAGAUCUGUGGACCUGUAUUUAGAGCAAAACAAUCUUCAUAUGGGGGUCGAGUUAUUAUUACAAAAUGAAAUAUCAUUUGGGACCUGAGACUACCAUCCUUGCUAAGAAUUAUACUUGGUGCUUUCUACCUACUGGCUGCUUUCCAGUAGCGAUUAUUAUGUGUGCGAAUUUCAGAAUUUGAAAAAUAUGUUCAAACUACUAGAGGCUGCCGUGGAUAGUUCUUUGUAGGAUGUAAUUAAAGUUUCUUUGGAUAGUUCAUGUGUACCAAUAAUUCAAUUGGUGGAGGGAUAUCUUGUCAGUGACGAUCCGUUGUGUGAAAUUGAUUAGUUCCAAUUGGGCUUGAAUAUUGCAAAGUCUUUGUCUUAAAAGCAAAAAAGCUGAAUGCUCAUUUGGAAACACCAUCCCAAGGUCUAAGAAAA